rnacentral:rRNA from 1 species
AAGUCGUAACAAGGUCUCCGUAGGUGAACCUGCGGAGGGAUCAUUACUGAGUGUGGGCUCCGGCCCUACCUCCAACCCCAUGUCGAAACGACUCUGUUGCCUCGGGGGCGACCCGGCCUUCGGGCGUCGGGGCCCCCGGCGGACACCUUCAUAACUCUUGCAUCUCUCGCGUCUGAGUGAUACAUAUAAUCAAUCAAAACUUUCAACAACGGAUCUCUUGGUUCUGGCAUCGAUGAAGAACGCAGCGAAAUGCGAUAAGUAAUGUGAAUUGCAGAACUCAGUGAAUCAUCGAAUCUUUGAACGCACAUUGCGCCCCCUGGCAUUCCGGGGGGCAUGCCUGUUCGAGCGUCAUUACACCACUCAAGCCUGGCUUGGUAUUGAGCGCCGCGGCCUGCCCGCGCGCUCCAAUGUCUCCGGCUGAGCCGUCCGUCUCUAAGCGUUGUGAAUAGCGAUCGCUUGCGAGGCCCGGGCGCGCUCGACGCCGUUAAACCCCCCAUUUUCUAUGGUUGACCUCGGAUCAGGUAGGGAUACCCGCUGAACUUAA